rnacentral:rRNA from 1 species
GACGAACGCUGGCGGCGUGCUUAACACAUGCAAGUCGAACGGAAAGGCCCUGCUUUUGUGGGGUGCUCGAGUGGCGAACGGGUGAGUAACACGUGAGUAACCUGCCCUUGACUUUGGGAUAACUUCAGGAAACUGGGGCUAAUACCGGAUAGGAGCUCCUGCUGCAUGGUGGGGGUUGGAAAGUUUCGGCGGUUGGGGAUGGACUCGCGGCUUAUCAGCUUGUUGGUGGGGUAGUUGCUUACCAAGGCUUUGACGGGUAGCCGGCCUGAGAGGGUGACCGGCCACAUUGGGACUGAGAUCCGGCCCAGACUACUCCGGGAGGCAGCAGUGGGGAAUAUUGAACAAUGGGCGGAAGACUGAUGCAGCAACGCCGCGUGCGGGAUGACGGCCUUCGGGUUGUAACCCGCUUUCGCCUGUGACGAAGCGUGAGUGACGGUAAUGGGUAAAGAAGAACCGGCUAACUACGUG